GACGAACGCUGGCGGCGUGCCUAAUACACGCAAGUUGAGCGCUGAAGGUUGGUCCUUGUACCAACUGGAUGAGCAGCGAACGGGUGAGUAACGCGUGGGGAAUCUGCCUUUGAGCGGGGGACAACAUUUGGAAACGAAUGCUAAUACCGCAUAAAAACUUUAAACACAAGUUUUAAGUUUGAAAGAUGCAAUUGCAUCACUCAAAGAUGAUCCCGCGUUGUAUUAGCUAGUUGGUGAGGUAAAGGCUCACCAAGGCGAUGAUACAUAGCCGACCUGAGAGGGUGAUAGGCCACGUUGGGACGGGGACACGGCCCACACUCCUACGGGAGGCAGCAGUAGGGAAUCUUCGGCAAUAGAAGAAAGUCUGACCGAGCAACGCCGCGUGAGUGAAGAAGGUUGUCGGAUCGUAAAACUCUGUUGGUAGAGAAGAACGUUGGUGAGAGUGGAAAGCUCAUCAAGUGACGGUAACUGCACAGAAAGGGACGGCUAACUACGUG
rnacentral:rRNA from 1 species